ACUGGAGUGGUCAAUCCCAUCUUGACACACGCACCGACAAGUCAAGUACUUGACUACACCCAGCAGCCUUCUGUCACUAAAUUAGAAAUUCAGGUAGUCCAGUGCCUAAGUGCAGUGAGUUGCUUGCAAGUCACCGUGGCGGUCUCAAGUCGGAGGGACAGUUAUACCCAUAUCCCAUCGGAGCAAAUCUUGACAGCAGAAAAAGCUCCGGAGUCGGUCAUGUUCAGUACAGAUGUACCCUUAUAUCUCACCUAUAUGCCAUACCAGUGUCUCCACACUCCUUGGUUAAGAGGAC
rnacentral:lncRNA from 1 species